GGGGAAAACAGGAGCCGAAUGGAAACUGACAGCCUUGGAAAGAGGUGUGUUGCCCAUAGGUUCAGUGUCAGAGCUUCUGCCUGCUGAAGCCGUAAAGUGGGCUGGGGCAAACAAGCGCCGAAUGGAAAAUGACAGCCUUGGAAGGAGGUUUGUUGUUCAUAGGUUCAUUGUCAGACCUUCUGCCUGCUGAAGCCAUAAAUUUGGGGCUGAGGAAAACAGAAGCCGAAUGGAAAAUGACACCUUGGGAAGGAGGUGUGUUGUCCAUAGUUUCAUUGUCAGAGCUUCUUCCUGCUGAAGCCAUAAAUGGGGGGCUGGGGAAAACAGGAGCCCAAUGGAAAGUGACAGCCUGGUAAGGAGGUAUUUUGUCCAUAGGUUCAGUAUCAGAGCUUCUGCCUGCUGAAGCCAUAAGUGUGAGACUUGGGAAACCAGGUUUAAAAUAAAAAAAAGCACCCUGGGAAGGAGGUGUGUUGUCCAUAGUUUCAGUGUCAGAGCUUCUGCCUGCUGAAGCCGUAAAUGGGGUGGUGGGGAAAACAGGAGCCGAACGGAAAAUGACAGCCUGGGAAGGAGGUGUGGUGUCCAUAGGUUCAGUGUCAGAGCUUUUGCCUGCUGAAGCC